UACACUUGAUUGAACUGAGGUCAUAUGCUCCUUGAUAAAGCUUUCAGAGUUAUCAUAGGAUCCCAAUAGGUCUGAAAUAAGUAGAGAUAUUUGUUCAUUGACAAUCAUUGACUGACAAACUAACAAGCUUAUUGUAACAACAUUUCAGCUGAUAUGCAUCUCCACUUGCUUGCUUUUCCGCUUUACUGCUUUACCUUAUCCGAUUCAUGCUAUUCACAUUUUCGUGUCCAAUAUUUUGGGAUCGGGUUAAUUGGUGAAGCGAUAUAAAAAAAUAGAUCCAGUUCCUGUAUACAUUUCUCUACUAAGCUGUAUUCACAGCUAGAAUAUGUUUUGUCACGGAAGAUUUCUGGCGUCAAACGCAAACUGAAACUGCUGAUCAUUUCCUGACAUCAAAAUUGAACAGAGAAGUAGGAAAAUGGUUGCUAAUCAUAUUCUAGUUCAGGAUCAUUUAUUUGCCAGAUGCUGUACAAUUGUUAACAAUGUUUGAACUGCCAAACUAAUUUCCAGGUGGAAGGAAAAUAUUUGUUCAAAUAUCAAUUCAAUGCUACAAGCACGAUGGCUCUUUUCAUGAAAGUUGCCCAAAAGGUUACUUUUAUCAUCCCUUUACAGCUGCAAAGGACAAUCAAUUUCAAUGUGCAAUAUGCAUUUGAGAUUCCGAAAUCUGAUAUCAUACCAUGCAGUGAAAGAUGUGGAUGAUGCUGAUUCCAAGUGGUAUGACAAGUUUCUUCGCCUCUUGGAUCAAAAAACUCUCAACGCCCUUUUGUAUUGGCCAAUCACAAAGAUGGUUUUCAUUCAAUCGACCAAUCGAGGUCGAUAUAUAAGGUGCUAUUUUUCGUGGAUUUUUCCGCUUCACCGCUUGGCCGCUUAUCCCUAUCCGCAUUGCCGUUUCAAAUUUUAGUGCCAUUCAAUGCGGAUAAGCGAUCAAGAAAUUGUCCGCUUGACCGCUUGCCUUUUGAAUAUUAUUCAAAUAUUGCUUAUUCUUAUUGUACGUGAUUGGUCGAUCUGAUAUCCCUAUGGUUUUGAUUGGACGCAAUUUGUGUUGUGAAAAAAUUUGGAGCAACAAGACUAAUCCGAAUUUGUUCAUAGUGCAGCAAUCAUGGCCCCAAAGGCCCACGUUCAGGUCGAUAUCCUAACUAACCUAGUGGAGGAGCUAAAGCUGGAGUCAUGCCAACCCAAACAGAAACGGUCUGAUGCAUAGAUUCCACUUUGUAAACGGUAUUUCGACUUGACCGGUGAUUAGAUCAACCCGAAGUUGAUGGCCAAGAAGUGGGCUCAUGUCUAGUCGGACGGCAAGAAGAAGAAGGGUCAGGCAAUAAUAAGAGACGCUAUUCGGGCUGGAGGGGGUCCAUCGCAGGCAUGCGGAUUGAACUCCGAGGACGAGUGGGUUUUAUCGACGUGUCAGAAUGGGGUCAGGACUGGACUUGGGUCGGACAGCGAAACUACGAGGAACCCUAUGAAUUACAACAACAACAACAACAACCCGACAGGAGCAGAGGCAGAAUCGAACAACGUUGUGGAGGAAAUCGUCUUGAUCAAGAUGGAGAAAGAGCGAUGCCGGAUUGACCUUGAACUGGCUGAGCAGCGACUGAUCGAUCACCCGCCCUGAUUGAAAAUACCCUUUACAGAGUGCAGUCUCCAAUAAAACCGGGGAUAUGUCAAAAAUAGUUGUUUAUUAUGAAAUCACGAACUUUCAAGAAAUUGAUUUGUACGACCUUCAGGGUGAACUUCGACCAUAUCCUGGUCCUGCAAUCCUUGCUCACUCAGACCUCAGUCGGAAGCCUCUUCUUAAGAAUCCCGAAGCAAUGUACUUUUUUGAUUCGGCUUGUCUUUAAAGCUUGCUUGCAGAGCACCAUAUUUUUUGCCUCAGGUCCUCGUCAGUGGCUCGGGCAAGCUCUUGGCUUCUAACCAUGGUCAACAAGACGUCGGAACAUCCAUAACCUUCAUCUCCCAGAAUGAAUCCUGGUUUUUGAACGGAGAAGUUGUCCUCAAGUUGACAUCGAAGACGACUUUCAUUCCAGAUCCGAGCAUC